rnacentral:rRNA from 1 species
AGCUUAUUUCGCGCAGCUUAGGUGGGAGACGUUGAACCUUUUCUUCCGGGAAAGGGGGAGUCAUCAGUGAGAUACCACUCUUGGUAAGCUAGAGCGCUCAUUUUUAACCGUUAUCCGGUAAAAAGACAGUUUCAGGCGGGCAGUUUGACUGGGGCAGUCACCUCCCAAAAGGUAAUGGAGGUGUACAAAGGCUCUCUCAGGCUGGACGGAAAUCAGCCAUAGAGUGUAAAAGCAUAAGAGAGCUUGACUGCGAGACGGACAUGUCAAGCAGAGACGAAAGUCGGUUUUAGUGAUCCGACGGUGCUGAGUGGAAAGGCCGUCGCUCAACGGAUAAAAGUUACUCUAGGGAUAACA